rnacentral:rRNA from 1 species
UGAUACUAAGCCAUGCGAGUCAUUGUAGCAAUACAAGGCAUACGGCUCAGUAACGCGUAGUCAACCUAACCUAUGGACGGGAAUAACCUCGGGAAACUGAGAAUAAUGCCCGAUAGAACAUUAUGCCUGGAAUGGUUUAUGUUCCAAAUGAUUUAUCGCCGUAGGAUGGGACUGCGGCCUAUCAGUUUGUUGGUGAGGUAAUGGCCCACCAAGACUAUUACAGGUACGGGCUCUGAGAGGAGUAGCCCGGAGAUGGGUACUGAGACACGGACCCAGGCCCUAUGGGGCGCAGCAGGCGAGAAAACUUUGCAAUGUGCGAAAGCACGACAAGGUUAAUCCGAGUGGUUUCUGCUAAAGGAACCUUUUGUCAGUCCUAGAAACACUGAUGAAUAAGGGGUGGGCAAGUUCUGGUGUCAGCCGCCGCGGUAAAACCAGCACCUCAAGUGGUCAGGAUGAUUAUUGGGCCUAAAGCAUCCGUAGCCGGCUCUGUAAGUUUUCGGUUAAAUCUGUACGCUCAACGUACAGGCUGCCGGGAAUACUGCAAAGCUAGGGAGUGGGAGAGGUAGACGGUACUCGGUAGGAAGGGGUAAAAUCCUUUGAUCUAUUGAUGACCACCUGUGGCGAAGGCGGUCUACCAGAACACGUCCGACGGUGAGGGAUGAAAGCUGGGGGAGCAAACCGGAUUAGAUACCCGGGUAGUCCCAGCUGUAAACCAUGCAAACUCAGUGAUGCAUUGGCUUGUGGCCAGUGCAGUGCUGCAGGGAAGCCGUUAAGUUUGCCGCCUGGGAAGUACGUACGCAAGUAUGAAACUUAAAGGAAUUGGCGGGGGAGCACCACAAGGGGUGAAGCCUGCGGUUCAAUUGG